CAUGGCUCAGGACGAACGCUGGCGGCGUGCCUAUUCCAUCAAGGUAGAACGCUGAAGGAGGAGUUUGUUUCUCCGGUUGAGUUGCGAACGGGUGAGUAACGCGUAGGUAACCUACCUGGUAGCGGGGGAUAACUAUUGGAAACGAUAGCUAAUACCGCAUAAAAUUGAUUAUUGCAUGAUAGUCAAUUAAAAGGUGCAAUUGCAUCACUACCAGAUGGACCUGCGUUGUAUUAGCUAGUUGGUGGGGUAACGGCUCACCAAGGCAACGAUACAUAGCCGACCUGAGAGGGUGAUCGGCCACACUGGGACUGAGACACGGCCCAGACUCCUACGG
rnacentral:rRNA from 1 species